UCAGCAGCUCUGCAAUGCAAGCUGGGGCCCGGGCAGAGAGAUAUCGUAGAAGAACUCUGUUUCCGCCUUCAGCAGAAGGAGCGGGUCAUCCAGGAGCUCCUGAAUGACAAGAACCGGCAGGCCGAAGAGCAGAAGGCCGAGAUCCAGAGCUUGCUCCAAGCCAUGAGCGCCAAACAGCAGCAGAGUUGUUCAUCUUCUGAGAAGAUGGCACAGGCUUUAAUAGAAAGAAGCUGUGAGCUCCAAGUCUUGCACCAGCAGCUGACGGGCCAGAUCCCUGGACGCAAAGCUGGGGGUUCCCCCGCCCGACUCUCACAGGAAGGACAGCCAAGUAAAGGAGAAGGUCUGGUGG